rnacentral:misc_RNA from 1 species
ACAAGAGAAAGUGUUCUGGAAGGGGAGAAGAUGGUAGUGUGAAAUGUGGAAGCAGUGGAAGAUGCCACUGCUCAAAGAAGAGGAAACAUAGGAUAAAGAGGUCAAUCAAGGUACCUGCUAUUAGUAACAAGCUUGCUGAUAUCCCUCCUGAUGAUUAUUCAUGGAGGAAGUAUGGGCAGAAGCCAAUCAAGGGUUCUCCUCAUCCUAGGGGGUAUUAUAAAUGUAGUAGCAUGAGAGGUUGCCCUGCAAGGAAGCAUGUUGAGAGGUGCUUGGAAGACCCAUCUAUGCUUAUUGUUACUUAUGAAGGUGAACAUAACCACCCAAGGAUACCAUCACAAUCUGCAAACACAUAAUCCUCAUGCAGUGAUUUCAAGCCUCAUACUGUUCAAUUCGUCUAAACUUAAUUAUCAAUGGCUUCUGUACAUAUUUUUCUUUUUUUCCUUUCCUCCAUCUUUCUUUUCUUUUACUCUGGGGAGUUGGCUUUUCAAAGCCUUCUCAGCAAUUAGGCCAGAGAGCUUGAAGCUAAACACCGAUCAAAGAAAAAUGUAGAAUUGGGGCUUUAAAUUUGAAGAACUUUUUCAUUUUCCAUGAAUCAAUGCUGGAACAGUUUCGGAAAUUUCCCAACUUGGUGGUGGCCUAAGUGUUGUAAUUUUCUUNNNNNCUUUCUGAAUUCUGAUCGACUGUUGUGUAUGAUAAAAAAAAAAUUACAACACUUAGGCCACCACCAAG